ACGCUAGCUACAGGCUUAACACAUGCAAGUCGAGGGGCAGCAUGGUCUUAGCUUGCUAAGGCCGAUGGCGACCGGCGCACGGGUGAGUAACGCGUAUCCAACCUGCCUUACACUCUUGGACAGCCUUCUGAAAGGGAGAUUAAUACAAGAUGUUAUCAUGAGUAAGCAUUUUCGCAUGAUUAAAGGUUUACCGGUGUAAGAUGGGGAUGCGUUCCAUUAGAUAGUAGGCGGGGUAACGGCCCACCUAGUCUUCGAUGGAUAGGGGUUCUGAGAGGAAGGUCCCCCACAUUGGAACUGAGACACGGUCCAAACUCCUACGGGAGGCAGCAGUGAGGAAUAUUGGUCAAUGGACGAGAGUCUGAACCAGCCAAGUAGCGUGAAGGAUGAAGGUUCUAUGGAUUGUAAACUUCUUUUAUACGGGAAUAAACGGAUCCACGUGUGGAUUUUUGCAUGUACCGUAUGAAUAAGGAUCGGCUAACUCCGUGCCAGCAGCCGCGGUAAUACGGAGGAUCCGAGCGUUAUCCGGAUUUAUUGGGUUUAAAGGGAGCGUAGAUGGGUUGUUAAGUCAGUUGUGAAAGUUUGCGGCUCAACCGUAAAAUUGCAAUUGAUACUGGCAGUCUUGAGUACAGUUGAGGUAGGCGGAAUUCGUGGUGUAGUGGUGAAAUGCUUAGAUAUCACGAAGAACUCCGAUUGCGAAGGCAGCUUACUAACCUGUAACUGACAUUGAUGCUCGUAAGUGUGGGUAUCAAACAGGAUUAGAUACCCUGGUAGUCCACACGGUAAACGAUGAAUACUCGCUGUAGGCGAUAUACAGUCUGCGGCCAAGCGAAAGCAUUAAGUAUUCCACCUGGGGAGUACGCCGGCAACGGUGAAACUCAAAGGAAUUGACGGGGGCCCGCACAAGCGGAGGAACAUGUGGUUUAAUUCGAUGAUACGCGAGGAACCUUACCCGGGCUUAAAUUGCAACCGAAUAUGGCGGAAACGCUAUAGCUAGCAAUAGCGGUUGUGAAGGUGCUGCAUGGUUGUCGUCAGCUCGUGCCGUGAGGUGUCGGCUUAAGUGCCAUAACGAGCGCAACCCUUGCCGAUAGUUACUAACGGGUCGUGCUGAGGACUCUGUCGGGACUGCCAUCGUAAGAUGUGAGGAAGGUGGGGAUGACGUCAAAUCAGCACGGCCCUUACGUCCGGGGCUACACACGUGUUACAAUGGGGGGUACAGAGGGCUGCUACCACGCAAGUGGAUGCCAAUCCCAAAAACCUCUCUCAGUUCGGAUUGAAGUCUGCAACCCGACUUCAUGAAGCUGGAUUCGCUAGUAAUCGCGCAUCAGCCACGGCGCGGUGAAUACGUUCCCGGGCCUUGUACACACCGCCCGUCAAGCCAUGGGAGCCGGGGGUACCUGAAGUGCGUAACCGCAAGGAGCGCCCUAGGGUAAAACUGGA
rnacentral:rRNA from 1 species